GAUGCCCAGCUUGCUGGGUGGAUUAGUGGCGAACGGGUGAGUAACACGUGAGUAACCUGCCCCUGACUCUGGGAUAAGCGUUGGAAACGACGUCUAAUACUGGAUAUGAUCACUGGCCGCAUGGUCUGGUGGUGGAAAGAUUUUUUGGUUGGGGAUGGACUCGCGGCCUAUCAGCUUGUUGGUGAGGUAAUGGCUCACCAAGGCGACGACGGGUAGCCGGCCUGAGAGGGUGACCGGCCACACUGGGACUGAGACACGGCCCAGACUCCUACGGGAGGCAGCAGUGGGGAAUAUUGCACAAUGGGCGAAAGCCUGAUGCAGCAACGCCGCGUGAGGGAUGACGGCCUUCGGGUUGUAAACCUCUUUUAGUAGGGAAGAAGCGAAAGUGACGGUACCUGCAGAAAAAGCACCGGCUAACUACGUGCCAGCAGCCGCGGUAAUACGUAGGGUGCAAGCGUUGUCCGGAAUUAUUGGGCGUAAAGAGCUCGUAGGCGGUUUGUCGCGUCUGCUGUGAAAUCCCGAGGCUCAACCUCGGGCUUGCAGUGGGUACGGGCAGACUAGAGUGCGGUAGGGGAGAUUGGAAUUCCUGGUGUAGCGGUGGAAUGCGCAGAUAUCAGGAGGAACACCGAUGGCGAAGGCAGAUCUCUGGGCCGUAACUGACGCUGAGGAGCGAAAGCAUGGGGAGCGAACAGGAUUAGAUACCCUGGUAGUCCAUGCCGUAAACGUUGGGCGCUAGAUGUAGGGACCUUUCCACGGUUUCUGUGUCGUAGCUAACGCAUUAAGCGCCCCGCCUGGGGAGUA
rnacentral:rRNA from 1 species